UACGUAUGGGGCGAGCGUUGUUCGGAGUUAUUGGGCGUAAAGGGCGUGUAGGCGGCUCGAGAAGUCUGGUGUGAAAUCGCAGGGCUCAACCCUGCGGGUGCGCUGGAAACUGACGGGCUUGAGUCCCGGGGGGGAAGCUGGAAUUCCUGGUGUAGGAGUGAAAUCUGUAGAGAUCAGGAAGAACACCGGUGGCGAAGGCGAGCUUCUAUUCGAGGACUGACGCUGAGGCGCGAAAGCGUGGGGAGCAAACAGG
rnacentral:rRNA from 1 species